AAAGUCAGUUAAUGUUUUUGUAAAGUGUGUAUAUAUGCUCCUUGAAAGAAAUGGCUGAGAAGUGGUUUCACCCCAAACUGUUAAAAAAAAUGUCUACUUCUGGUGAGGGGGAAAGUGAGGUAGAUGCUGGUGAGGAAGAAGUAAAGACUUUAACUUUUUAUAAUAUAUAAUUCUAUACAAGAAUGUGUGAUUUCUGUUCCAAAGAAGUUGCAGAAAUAAUGGAAGACUUUUUAAAGAAGUUUAUUCCUGUGAAAGAAUAUAAGUUCAGCAUGUGUUUCAGAUGCCAGCUUUUUUAUCUUUUAUUUCUACCUAACAGCAUACUGUAUUUGUUUCUCUGUAUUCGAUUUCUCUCUCCCUGCCUUCCACCUCAGCCCUGCAAAUGAGUCCCACUGCAGUAUCUCUAUAGUUGUUCUCAUGUUUAUACAGUUAUUAAUGUGUGUCAUUUUCAGGAGGAAGACCAUUUUUUAAGAAGUUCCAAGUCAUUAGUUACUUUUUUCCUGCUAUAAUUAAGAAUUUGAGAAAAUAAUGGUUCUUGCUUUUUUUUCCUCUUGAAUUACAAAGAAAUCACAUAUGGAAUGGGUCAAGACCAAGGUUAUUUCAUUGAAGAGGAUUUUUCACAAAAUUAGAACCUCGUGAUUUAUUCUGAAAGCAAAAGAAAACAAAAUUCCCCAUAAGACUCGGAAAAA
rnacentral:lncRNA from 1 species